UUUCCGUAGGUGAACCUGCGGAAGGAUCAUUAACAAAUCGUGUGCUUGCACACAUUCAUCUAUGUGAAUUGUCUAAAAAUAUUUUUUUAGAAAUUAAAGAUUAUGUAUCUUUAAACACAAACGUCUAUUUUUAAAGACUGAGUCCAAAAAAUUAAAAAAAUACAACUUUUAACAAUGGAUCUCUUGGCUCUU
rnacentral:misc_RNA from 1 species